GAUGAACGCUAGCUACAGGCUUAACACAUGCAAGUCGAGGGGCAGCAUUUCAGUUUGCUUGCAAACUGGAGAUGGCGACCGGCGCACGGGUGAGUAACACGUAUCCAACCUGCCGAUAACUCGGGGAUAGCCUUUCGAAAGAAAGAUUAAUACCCGAUGGUAUAAUCAGACCGCAUGGUCUUGUUAUUAAAGAAUUUCGGUUAUCGAUGGGGAUGCGUUCCAUUAGGCAGUUGGUGAGGUAACGGCUCACCAAACCUUCGGUGGAUAGGGGUUCUGAGAGGAAGGUCCCCCACAUUGGAACUGAGACACGGUCCAAACUCCUACGGGAGGCAGCAGUGAGGAAUAUUGGUCAAUGGGCGCAGGCCUGAACCAGCCAAGUAGCGUGAAGGAUGACUGCCCUAUGGGUUGUAAACUUCUUUUAUAUGGGAAUAAAGUUUUCCACGUGUGGAAUUUUGUAUGUACCAUAUGAAUAAGGAUCGGCUAACUCCGUGCCAGCAGCCGCGGUAAUACGGAGGAUCCGAGCGUUAUCCGGAUUUAUUGGGUUUAAAGGGAGCGUAGGUGGACAGUUAAGUCAGUUGUGAAAGUUUGCGGCUCAACCGUAAAAUUGCAGUUGAUACUGGCUGUCUUGAGUACAGUAGAGGUGGGCGGAAUUCGUGGUGUAGCGGUGAAAUGCUUAGAUAUCACGAAGAACUCCGAUUGCGAAGGCAGCUCACUGGACUGCAACUGACACUGAUGCUCGAAAGUGUGGGUAUCAAACAGGAUUAGAUACCCUGGUAGUCCACACAGUAAACGAUGAAUACUCGCUGUUUGCGAUAUACAGUAAGCGGCCAAGCGAAAGCAUUAAGUAUUCCACCUGGGGAGUACGCCGGCAACGGUGAAACUCAAAGGAAUUGACGGGGGCCCGCACAAGCGGAGGAACAUGUGGUUUAAUUCGAUGAUACGCGAGGAACCUUACCCGGGCUUAAAUUGCAUUUGAAUAUAUUGGAAACAGUAUAGCCGUAAGGCAAAUGUGAAGGUGCUGCAUGGUUGUCGUCAGCUCGUGCCGUGAGGUGUCGGCUUAAGUGCCAUAACGAGCGCAACCCUUAUCUUUAGUUACUAACAGGUCAUGCUGAGGACUCUAGAGAGACUGCCGUCGUAAGAUGUGAGGAAGGUGGGGAUGACGUCAAAUCAGCACGGCCCUUACGUCCGGGGCUACACACGUGUUACAAUGGGGGGUACAGAAGGCAGCUACCUGGUGACAGGAUGCUAAUCCCAAAAGCCUCUCUCAGUUCGGAUCGAAGUCUGCAACCCGACUUCGUGAAGCUGGAUUCGCUAGUAAUCGCGCAUCAGCCAUGGCGCGGUGAAUACGUUCCCGGGCCU
rnacentral:rRNA from 1 species